UGAACGCUGGCGGCAUGCUUUACACAUGCAAGUCGAACGCGAAAGGGGGGCAACCCCUGAGUAGAGUGGCGAACGGGUGAGUAAUACAUCGGAACGUACCCAGUCGUGGGGGACAACCAGUCGAAAGACUGGCUAAUACCGCAUACGCAGGAGACUGGAAAGGGGGCGCCCGCAAGGGGCUCUCGCGAUUGGAGCGGCCGAUGUCCGAUUAGCUAGUUGGUGGGGUAAAGGCUCACCAAGGCGACGAUCGGUAGCUGGUCUGAGAGGAUGAUCAGCCACACUGGGACUGAGACACGGCCCAGACUCCUACGGGAGGCAGCAGUGGGGAAUUUUGGACAAUGGGCGCAAGCCUGAUCCAGCCAUGCCGCGUGAGGGAAGAAGGCCUGGUUGUAACCUACUUUCGGUCCGGCGAAACUACGCAUCGGUUAAUACCGGUCGUGGAGUGACGGUACCGGAACGAAGAAGCACCGGCUAACUAC
rnacentral:rRNA from 1 species